rnacentral:rRNA from 1 species
UACGGAGGGUGCAAGCGUUGUUCGGAAUUAUUGGGCGUAAAGGGCGUGUAGGUGGCUUUCCAAGUCCGGUGUGAAAUCCCACGGCUCAACCGUGGAACUGCAUUGGAAACUGGAUGGCUCGAGGGUUGGAGGGGGUCGCGGAAUUCCCGGUGUAGGAGGUGAAAUUCGUAGAUAUCGGGAGGAACACCAGUGGCGAAGGCGGCGACCUGGCCAAUCACUGACACUGGAGAACGCGGAAAAGCGAUGGGGGAGCAAACAGGG